UUGCGCUAUCAGAUGAGCCUAGGUCGGAUUAGCUAGUUGGUGGGGUAAUGGCUCACCAAGGCGACGAUCCGUAACUGGUCUGAGAGGAUGAUCAGUCACACUGGAACUGAGACACGGUCCAGACUCCUACGGGAGGCAGCAGUGGGGAAUAUUGGACAAUGGGCGAAAGCCUGAUCCAGCCAUGCCGCGUGUGUGAAGAAGGUCUUCGGAUUGUAAAGCACUUUAAGUUGGGAGGAAGGGUUGUAGAUUAAUACUCUGCAAUUUUGACGUUACCGACAGAAUAAGCACCGGCUAACUCUGUGCCAGCAGCCGCGGUAAUACAGAGGGUGCAAGCGUUAAUCGGAAUUACUGGGCGUAAAGCGCGCGUAGGUGGUUAGUUAAGUUGGAUGUGAAAUCCCCGGGCUCAACCUGGGAACUGCAUUCAAAACUGACUGACUAGAGUAUGGUAGAGGGUGGUGGAAUUUCCUGUGUAGCGGUGAAAUGCGUAGAUAUAGGAAGGAACACCAGUGGCGAAGGCGACCACCUGGACUGAUACUGACACUGAGGUGCGAAAGCGUGGGGAGCAAACAGGAUUAGAUACCCU
rnacentral:rRNA from 1 species